GGGUAGGCAGCAGUGAGGAAUAUUGCACAAUGGGGGAAACCCUGCAUGCAGCACACGCCGUCGUGGAGGCAUGCAACGCAUUUCGGUGUGUACACUCCUUUUCAUAUGUGCAAGAAGAUGACGGUAGCAAUAUGCAUAAGCACCGGCUACUCCGUGCCAGCAGCCGCA
rnacentral:rRNA from 1 species